rnacentral:rRNA from 1 species
AAGGGCGUCCGGUGGAUGCCUUGGCGCCAGGAGGCGAUGAAGGACGUGGCACGCUGCGAAAAGCCGCGGGGAGAUGCGAGCGAUCGUUGAUCCGCGGAUGUCCGAAUGGGGAAACCCCUCCGCAAGGAGAUCGGCGGCUGAAUACAUAGGCUGUCGAGGCGAACCCGGGGAACUGAAACAUCUCAGUACCUGGAGGAAAAGACAUCAACCGAGAUUCCCGGAGUAGUGGCGAGCGAAACGGGAGGAGGCCAGUGGCCUUGGUCAGUGAAGCCGAAGGGUCUGGAAAGGCCUGCCGCAGAGGGUGAUAGCCCCGUAGGCGUGUGGCUGGCUGAGGUCCUUGAGUAGGGCGGGGCACGUGAAACCCUGUCUGAACAUGGGGGGACCACCCUCCAAGCCUAAAUACUCCCUGGCGACCGAUAGUGCACAAGUACCGUGAGGGAAAGGUGAAAAGCACCCCGACGAGGGGAGUGAAAGAGACCUGAAACCGGACGCCUACAAGCAGUCGGAGCCUCUUUAUGGGGUGACGGCGUACCUUUUGUAUAAUGGGUCCGCGAGUUCGUGUUGGCGGCGAGCCUGAGCCGAUAGGCGGAGGCGCAGCGAAAGCGAGUCUGAACAGGGCGUUCAGUCGCCGGCAUGAGACCCGAAACCUGGUGAUCUAGCCAUGGCCAGGCUGAAGGUGGGGUAACACCCACUGGAGGGCCGAACCCACGCCUGUUGAAAAAGUCGGGGAUGAGCUGUGGCUAGGGGUGAAAGGCCAAUCAAACCAGGAAAUAGCUGGUUCUCCGCGAAAUCUAUUGAGGUAGAUCGUUGUCCGGUCGCCCCCGGAGGUAGAGCACCGGAAGGGCUAGGGGGGCCCAAAGCCUUACCAAACCCUACCGAACUCCGAAUGCCGGGGAGCGCAGGGCGGCAGACAGACAGUGGGUGCUAAGGUCCAUUGUCGAGAGGGAAACAGCCCAGACCGCCGGCUAAGGCCCCCAAGUCGUGGCUAAGUGGGAAAGCAUGUGGGACGGCCAAAACAACCAGGAGGUUGGCUUAGAAGCAGCCAUCCUUUAAAGAAAGCGUAAUAGCUCACUGGUCUAUUAGCUGUCCUGCGGCGAAAAUGUAACGGGUCUCAAGCCACGCGCCGAAGCCGCGGGCCUGCAGCGAUGCGGGCGGUAGCGGAGCGUUCCCUAGGCUGUUGAAGCGGCAUCGCGAGGUGCCGUGGAGGCAUGGGAAGCGCGAAUGCGGACAUGAGUAGCGACAAACGGGGCGAGAAACCCCGUCGCCGAAAGCCCAAGGGUUCCCGCGCAAGGUUAAUCCGCGCGGGGUGAGCCGGCCCCUAAGGCGAGGGCGACAGCCGUAGCCGAUGGGAAGGGGGCGAACAUUCCCCCGCCCGCCAGACGUGACGCCUUUGAAGCCGUGUCGGACCUUACUGGAUUGGUUUGGCUGGUGGAUGGGGCCGGGAAAUAGCGCUGGCGUUGGACCGUACCCGAAACCGACACAGGUGGGCUGGUAGAGCAUACCAAGGCGCUUGAGAGAACCAUGCUGAAGGAACUAGGCAAAUUGCUCGCGUAACUUCGGGAUAAGCGAGACCCCUUCGCGGGCAACCGCGGGGGGGUGGCACAGAGCAGGCAGUGGCGACUGUUUAGUAAAAACACAGGGCUCUGCGAAGUCGAGAGACGACGUAUAGGGUCUGACGCCUGCCCGGUGCCGGAAGGUCAAGGGGAGAUGUGAGAGCGUCGAACCGAAGCCCCGGUAAACGGCGGCCGUAACUAUAACGGUCCUAAGGUAGCGAAAUUCCUUGUCGGGUAAGUUCCGACCUGCACGAAUGGCGUAACGACCUCUGCACUGUCUCCGGCACGGGCUCAGCGAAAUUGAAUUCCCCGUGAAGAUGCGGGGUACCCGCGGUCAGACGGAAAGACCCUAUGAACCUUUACUGCAACUUCGCGGUGGCGCCAGGAAGGGGCUGUGUAGGAUAGGCGGGAGGCUUGGAAGCCGGGGCGCCAGCUCUGGUGGAGCCAACCUUGAAAUACCGCCCUGCGCCUUUCUGGCGUCUAACCGACCCCCGUGAUCCGGGGGCGGGACCCCGCGUGGUGGGCAGUUUGACUGGGGCGGUCGCCUCCCAAAAGGUAACGGAGGCGCGCGAUGGUGGGCUCAAGCCGGUCGGACAUCGGCUGUUGAGUGCAAUGGCACAAGCCCGCCUGACUGCGAGCGCGACAGCGCGAGCAGAGACGAAAGUCGGCCAUAGUGAUCCGGUGGUCCCGCGUGGAAGGGCCAUCGCUCAACGGAUAAAAGGUACUCUAGGGAUAACAGGCUGAUCUCCCCCAAGAGUCCACAUCGACGGGGAGGUUUGGCACCUCGAUGUCGGCUCAUCGCAUCCCGGGGCUGGAGCAGGUCCCAAGGGUUCGGCUGUUCGCCGAUUAAAGCGGUACGUGAGCUGGGUUUAGAACGUCGUGAGACAGUUCGGUCCCUAUCUGCCGUGGGUGUAGGAGGCUUGAGAGGAUCUGUCCCCAGUACGAGAGGACCGGGAUGGACGCACCUCUGGUGAACCGGUUGUCGCGCCAGCGGCACGGCCGGGUGGCCAAGUGCGGACGGGAUAACCGCUGAAGGCAUCUAAGCGGGAAACCCCCCUCAAAACAACGCCUCCCCGAGGGCCGUGGAAGACCACCACGUCGAUAGGCCGCAGGUGAAAGUGGGGCAACCCAUGCAGCCGAGCGGUCCUAAUCGCCCGAUAGAACUCCAUCC